GUCGAGUACUGUUAUUGAGGCUAAAACGUCGUAUAGUUUUAAAAAUAGGUUAGAUAAAUAAGAGUGAUUGAUUGGGCAUGGGUGGGUAUGAGUUGGAGCUGGCUAACUUGUACUACUGGGUCUGGUGCCGUUCUUUAUCCUUUAGUGGAGUUGACCAGACUGGGUGUGUCAUUGGGUUUAUGGGGGGGGGGGGAUUGACCUGCUGUGCAUGGGUCGGUAGGCUUGUUGUAGUGCUCCUUAUGUUCUUAAAUUGUUAAGAACAUAAGGAGCACUGUAACAGCCCCACUGACCCAUGUUGAGGAGGUCCAUGUCUAGCUCUCGUCCCCCAUCUUCUUCCCCCUCCCCCGAUUAGCCCAAUGAUCCACGCAGUCUCGUCACCUUUACUACAGAAAAUAGCACGGUACUAGACCCAGCAGCACAAGCUAGUCAGGUUUGACUCUCGCCCACGUACGCUCACUUGUGUAUUUAUGAAACUUAUUUUUUAAAUUGUAUAAAGUUUUAGCCAUAAUAAUUGUACUUGUGAGUUUAUUGCACUCAUCCACAAGUGUAUUACCCAAACAGUUGUUUCGUGUAUUUUUCUUAAGUUUGAAUUGUUACAAUUUGAAAGCAUUGUUGCAAUUCCUGUCUUGGCUAGAUAUUUUCAUCAGGGCAUUUACAAGUUUUAUUUAUUCAUGUUUUCCAUUUGUAAAAGUGUAUCAUAUCCCUUGUAUUUAUAUGGUUUUAAAGAGUGCAAAUUCAGUGAUCUGAUUCUAUCCUUAUAGGGAGGGUUUGUGAUGGUUUAGACACGUAAGCAAACACUGACAUGUGCAUAUUAGAAUUGAUUAAGGCUCCAGGUCUGAAACGUUUUCUAAUAAAUAUCAGUGUUUACGUGUAUUUUUAAAUCGGUAUUUAUUGCAAAUGAUUAUACCAGGAUUUGUGAUACAUGGGAUCGGUGACCAGAACUGAGCAGCAUAGUGUAAAUGAGGCCUAACCAAGGAUAUAUAGUUGAACAACCUGAAGAUUUGUAUUAUUUAUACUUUAGGUUAAUGUUAAGCAUAAAUCGAUAUAUUUUUUAGAAAUUAUUGUAAUAAGAUUUACAUUUAGUUUGUGGUAUGGUUAUUUUUGUAGCUAAGAAACAUUUAGGAAUUUGUAUUUCUGUCCAACUGCAUGUUCUAAUUGUCUGAGUAUUACAUCAGUUUAUUUGAAUCGUCGUGGAGUGCUCUAGUGUCUUUGUUAGAAAUAUUUUGAGGGCGUAUUUUGGUUUCAUGAGCAAAUUUGAUUAUGUCGCUAUUAUCAUGUGUGUCAUUUAUGUAAAUUUUGAAAGAGUAAGAAGGGGCCCAACACUGAACCUUAAAGAAUAUUGCUUAUGAUGUGGCCGCAUUCUGAUUUGUUGUCAUUUAUGUAAGGUACCUGUUUCAUAUUUUUCUGUGAUGCCUGUAACCAGGAAAAAAUAUAUAGUGUUAUUCUAUGUUUUAAGUUUUCUCAAUAGCCUCUGAUGUGUAAGUGUAUCGAAAUAUUAUUUUUGAUUUAAAACUAGGACUACACUAAAUAAAUAAAAGCAUUGUCAGAUAUUUCGCAUAGAAGAAUAUCAUAAUGACAACAAAGUAUGUGUUACACUGCCUUUAGAAAAUUUUGUCUUGAUAUGACUGGGUACAACCCCCAAGACGUGUGAAAGAUUACACAAUAUACCAGACAUGAAUGGAUCAGAUCAUUUAAAGUUACAAUAAUAUGUUGGUACACUGCACACACCUGAUACAUGUAAAAUGACUUUACAGGUUUCCCUCAACAUUAAUGUUUUCAGCUUUUGUGGGCUUGACACAUUUGUGAAUUGCCAACCGCCAAAUCAUAUUUAAGUUUCCCGCCACUUGUGAGUCUCUACUACUCUCCCACCGAUCCCUGCAACUGGCAGCCAGCCAGCCACCCAGCCACCCAGCCAGCCAGCCAGCCAGCCAGCCAGCCAGCCAGCCAGCCAGCCACCCAGCCAGCCCUCCCACCACUCAGUGUGGUUGAUGAAGGUUUUGGAGGUGUAUUAAGAUGAGUAAUGUUUGAUGUUUUUGUAAAUUAAUUGAUUGAAGUGUUUAAUAUAUAUAUAUAGAGAUGUUUACUAAGUUGUUUAUUUUUGUUUUUUAGUUUUGUGAAGUGAGUUGAUAGUAGAGUAUGGCUGGCUGAGUGAGUGCCGGAUUUUGGCAGAGAUGGCUAUUGUGGAAUGGUAUUUAUGUGGUAUGUAUAUUUUAUUAAUAUUGUAAGUGAUACUGUUUUAAAUGUUUCAAAAUGUUAAAAUGAAAUUUAUUUUAUUUCAGGUUGUUAAGGUAUUUUACCGCGAAGAGUGAGGGAUGGUUGUCUAUUUGUGUGUUUAAGAUGAGUAAUAUUUAUUUUAGUAUUGGUAAAUAAUUUAUUGGAGAGUGUUAAAGGUUUGUAGGGGCAAGGUUUAUUUUAUGGUGAAGAAUUUUUUUUAUGAAUGACGAAGUAAAUGUUUAUUGUAUUAAGGCUUGAAAGAAAAUAAAGAAUGAAGUUUGUAUCCCAGACUUGUUUUUAUUAAUUUUGGAGCAAAUGUAUAUAUGUAAUUUAGGAGUUGUGUAUAUGUUUGUGGUUUUUAAGGUGUUAAUGUUUGGAGAGUAGUAGUAGUAGUAGUAGUAGUAGUAGUAGUUAUUUUUUCAGAUGUAAUGUUUGGUGUUUAUAUAGUUUUAAAAAAUAUUAACAAACAGAAAUGAUUCUAGUGUUUAAGAAAGGUGAUAGCACUGCAAUAGAUAAUAAUUUUUUAUGCAAUAGGAAAUAUUUGUGAGAAAUUUAUAUAUAUUUGAAUUAUUUUUUUAUUAUUUUUCAGGUUGGUGAUGAAUUAGUGAUCGAUUGUGAUUGAUGGAGUUUGUUAUAGGAAGGAAGUGUGGGUGACUGCUGGUGCCGUGUAUUAAGAUAAGUAAUAUUUUAUUUAUUUGUUAAAAUUUUUUAAGAACGUUAAAAGUAUAUAGGGAGAAUGGUGUUGUGGGGGUGAAGAUAAUUUUUUAAUUGAGAUAAAAAGUAAUUUUUGUGUAUUAAGGCUUGAAACACAGACAAAAUAAUGAAGGUCAUAUCCUAGAUUUGUCAUUAUUAGUUUUUGAACAAGUGUAUAUAUAAUGUGGGAGUUAUGUAUAUAUUUGUGGUAUUUGAGGUCUUAAUACUUUGAGAGGAGGAAGAGUAGUAAUAGUUGUUAUUUUGUUUUUGAUGUAAUGUCGGGUAUGUAUAUAAUUUGAAAAAAAUUAAUAAAUAAAUACCAAAAUGAUUGUAGUAGUAUUUAAGAUGAUUGGACUAAAAUAGAUAAUAUUUAUAUAUCGACAAGAAAAUUUUUAUUGAGAGAAAUGUCAAUGUAUUUGAAGUGUUUUAUUUUAUUUGUGAUUGAGUUUGGAAGCGGCGAUGAGUGUAAUGAAUUCUUGUGGAAAGGUGUGUAAUAAUAGUUGUUAUAAAUGUGUGUUAAUUUUAUUUGAUAUAUUUAUUAAGAGAUUUUAAAUUUUUUUUAGGUUUAUGAUGAAUUUAUGGCGGAGUGUGAGUGAAUGACGGACUUUAUCAGAGGAAACAAAUAUGGGAUGUUGAUGAUGGUGAUUCAUGUUAAGAUAAGUAAUGUUAUUUUUACGUAUAUGUAAAUUAUUUAUUUAGGAGCAUUACAGGUAUAUAGGGAGAAUGGUGUUCUUGGGGGGUGAAGAUAAUUAUGGGUUGAGGAGCAAGAAAGUAAAGUAAAUUGUGAGUGUAUUAAGGGUUUAAACAUUGACUAAAUAAUGAAGGUUGCAUCCUAGACUUGUCAUUGUUUUAUUUUUGAAUAAGUGUAUGUAUAAUAUGCGAGUUUUUUAAACAUUUUAGGUGUUAAUAUGUGUAAUAUAGUUUUUUGUUUAUAGUUGUAUAAUGGUGGUUAUGUAUAUAUUUUUGAAAAAUUUUAAUUUAUUCUUUUAUUAAAUUUGAUUAAUAACAAUAAAAUAGAUAAUGAUUAUAAGUAGGUUUGAUGUGAGAAUCUAUUAAUUUAUAUUUGAUAUGUUUAUUAAGAAAUUUAGUUUAUUUCAGGUUUGUGAAGGUGAUGAAGAAUGUACGUUGUUUAUUUACUGAGUGGUUGAUGGAUUUUAGGCGAGGCAGCAAGUGUGGAUUGGUGGUUAUACUGGUUCUUAUGUAUUUGGUUGGUAGAGGUUGUGGCUGAGUUUUGAUUACUAUCUGGCUGACUGACUGAAUUUGGGAGAGGCAGUGAGUAUAAGGAAUUAUUAUUGAAAGAUUUGUGAAGGUGCUUUAUUAGUGGUUUAUUGAUUAUGAGUGAAUCAAUGAUGGAGUUGGAGUUGUGUAGUGAUGGAAUGUGCUGAUAUAUUAGCAGGAAGAAUUGAUUGAUGGAGGAUGAGAGCUUAGUAUGGUGGUUGAUUGGUAGUAAUAUUUAGCAGAGGGUGGGAAUAUGAGCAGCUAAUAAUGAAAAGUUAAGUAUUGUUUAGUAAUUUAUAUUUAAAUUGACUCAAGAAAUUGUAAUGACAAGAUUUCAAACAAAUGAUAUGCCUGGCUGGGAUUGAAGGUGUUUUCAUAGUCUCAAAACUGCAUUGUGUUGUUAGCCACUAGACCAAGUAGCCACAAUAAGAUUCAUUCAACUAGGUAUAUAUGUACACCAUAGGAAGGUUAGAAGAGGCAUGACAAUGAUGACAAAUGUAAGUUUUUAAAGAGUAAUGUCCAAGUAGUGUGGCCGUGAUGAAGUGUAAGUGAAGUCUCUGGAUUGCUGUCAACACGUCGUUAUCGGGUAAUGCGACGGGCUGGAGUUUUGAGACUAUAACUGUGGGUUGAAUCCUGGCUGUGCUUAUGGUUAGUUUAAGAAAUAAACACUAAGUAAAUGUACUUAUUAAUUUGAAGAUGAUAGAAGUUUGUAAGAUGCUGAAGAGGCUUUUAUGCCUAGCAUUAAUUGUAGUUUAAAUAAGCAGUAUGUUGAGUGUUAAACAUUGUAGUAAAGAUAUGUUAAGAAUGAAUCACAGUGAAUUAUUUGAAAGAUAUUUUAUGAUGUUGAAAAAUUUUACAUUAAUCUUAAAAAUCAAUAUUAACAAAUUAGUUUAAUAAAUAGAUGAAAUAUUGAUGAAAGUUUGAAUAUGUUAUGUGAAAUGUUAGAAUUGAUUAUGUUUUUAAUAUUAGUUAAAACAAAUUUAUUAUGGAGAAAUGUAUAUUUAAAAAUUUCAAAAUGUAAAGUUUACUAAAUUUUAUUAUUUUUUCGUAGGUUGUUGGAAGCGUGUUUGCGGAGGUUGCAUUGAUCAAUAUGUGAUGUAGAGGUUUUAUAUGGAGUGAGUUAAUGUGAUGUUUAAUAUUUUAAGAUAGUUAAUUAAUUAUUAAAUGCAAAUUAGGUGUAAUAGGUUUUGGUGAAUUAUUGAAUGAGCAUUGUAAAAGCCAUAAUGACUUUCUUCACUGAAAGAGUGAAGAUACUGCUGGUGUCCAGACCAAGUUUUCACUAAUGUCUACAAACGUACAUUUAACAAUGAAGGUUGCAUCCCAGACUUUUCAUUGUUAAUAUGACUGCAUGUGUAUAUAUAAUGUGGGAGUUUUGUAUAUGUUUGUAGUGUUUGAGGCAUUAUGUGGAGACUUGCGUUUUGGAAAUACCGGGUAUUCAUGUACUCUGGAUGGGUUGAUUUGUCGCUGUGAAAUGGUUAGUAACA